rnacentral:rRNA from 1 species
GAUGAACGCUGGCGGCGUGCCUAAUACAUGCAAGUCGAGCGAACAGACGAGGAGCUUGCUCCUCUGACGUUAGCGGCGGACGGGUGAGUAACACGUGGAUAACCUACCUAUAAGACUGGGAUAACUUCGGGAAACCGGAGCUAAUACCGGAUAAUAUAUUGAACCGCAUGGUUCAAUAGUGAAAGACGGUUUUGCUGUCCCUUAUAGAUGGAUCCGCGCCGCAUUAGCUAGUUGGUAAGGGAACGGCUUACCAAGGCGACGAUGCGUAGCCGACCUGAGAGGGUGAUCGGCCACACUGGAACUGAGACACGGUCCAGACUCCUACGGGAGGCAGCAGUAGGGAAUUUUCCGCAAUGGGCGAAAGCCUGACGGAGCCACGCCGCGUGAGUCAUGAAGGUCUUCGGCUCGUAAAACUCUGUUAUUCGGGAAGAACAAAUGUGUAAGUACCUAUGCACGUCUUGACGGUACCUAAUCAGAAAGCCACGGCUAACUAGGUG